CCUACGGGAGGCUGCAGUGGGGAAUAUUGGGCAAUGGAGGCAACUCUUACCCAGCAAUGCCGCGUGCAUGAAGAAGGUCUUCGGAUUGUAAAGUUCUUUUAUUGGGGACGAAAAAAAUGACGGUACCAAAGGAAUAAGCCGCGGCUAACUACGUGCCAGCAGCCGUGGUACUAAGUAGGGGGCAAGCGUUGUUCGGGAUGACUGGGCGUAAAGGGUGUGUAGGCGGUGUAGCAAGUUAGCAGUGAAAUACCUAGAGCUUAACUCAGGGACUGCUUCUAAAACUGCUAGACUUGAGUGCAGUAGAGGAAAGUGGAAUUCCUGGUGUAGCGGUGAAAUGCGUAGAUAUUAGGAGGAACAUCAGUGGCGAAGGCGGCUUUCUGGACUGUAACUGACGCUGAGGCACGAAAGUGUGGGGAGCAAACAGGAUUAGAUACCCCAGUAGUC
rnacentral:rRNA from 1 species